AGGCGCGCAAAUUACCCACUCCCAGUACNNGGAGGUGGUGACGAAAAAUACCGAUGCGGGACUCGUCAUGAGGCUCCGUAAUCGGAAUGAGUGAAAUUUAAAUCCUUUCACGAGGAUCAAUUGGAGGGCAAGUCUGGUGCCAGCAGCCGCGGUAACUCCAGCUCCAAUAGCGUAUAUUAAAGUUGCUGCAGUUAAAAAGCUCGUAGUUGGAUCUCGGUAGCAUUGUUGCCUGCCAUGGCUUGGCUUGGAGAGGUUAGGAUAAGUGCUAUGCAUUUGCCUGCUUUUCCUUGUCGAGUCGGCUUGGCAGCGGUGUCACCUUUCAGCCAUGUCUGUGGUGAAAUACCCAUAGGUGUAGGCGAGUGUCAGGCGGUGCCUUGCAACAGUAGGGUCCGUCGGCUCGUUUGCAUGCCUUUGGAUGCCCUUUNAAAGGUGUCUGCGGGCGGAUGGCACGUUUACUUUGAACAAAUUUGAGUGCUCAAACCAGGCCGCUGUUGCCUGUAAAGUUUUGCAUGGAAUAAUGGAAUAGGACUUCGGUUCUAUUUCGUUGGUUUUCGGAUCCCAAGUAAUGAUCAAAACACACAGGCGGGGACGCUCGUAUGGUUGCGCUAGAGGUGAAAUUCAUGGACCGUAGCCAGACAAACUAAAGCGAAAGCAUUCGUCAAGCAUGUUUUCAUUGACCAUGAGCGAAAGUCAGAGGCUCGAAGACGAUCAGAUACCGUCCUAGUUCUGACCAUAAACUAUGCCAACUGACGAUCCGUGGUGGUAGUACUUUAACCUUCCCCACGGGCAGUCCCCGGGAAACCUUUAAGUCUUUGGGUUCCGGGGGAAGUAUGGUUGCAAAGCUGAAACUUAAAGGAAUUGACGGAAGGGCACCACCAGGAGUGGAGCCUGCGGCUUAAUUUGACUCAACACGGGAAAACUCACCCGGGCCGGACACUAUGAGGAUUGACAGAUUGACAGCUCUUUCUUGAUUUGGUGGUUGGUGGUGCAUGGCCGUUCUUAGUUGGUGGAGCGAUUUGUCUGGUUAAUUCCGAUAACGAACGAGACUCUAGCCUGCUAAUUAGUGUGCUCGUCCACUGUUCCUGUGUAGGUGGCGUUUCUACGAGUUUGCUCUAAUCAAGUGGCUAGUCAGAAGCUUGCAUAGUUCUACUGUGUAUGUGGAAGACGAGUUGCUAGAGCGGAUGGUUAGUCGUUGCUUCCGGGUACGGCGCGAGUACUUUACUUCUUAGAGGGACAAACGGCAGAAUCCGCACGAAAUUGAGCAAUAACAGGUCUGUGAUGCCCUUAGAUGUCCGGGGCCGCACGCGCGCUACAAUGACGAUGGCAACGAGUCUGACCUUCUGGCCCGAAAGGGUUGGACAAACUGGUCAAUCAUCGUCAUGACAGGGAUUGGGGCUUGUAAUUGUUCCCCAUGAACGAGGAAUUCCUAGUAAGUGCAAGUCAUAAGCUUGCGCUGAUUACGUCCCUGCCCUUUGUACACACCGCCCGUCGCUACUACCGAUUGAAUGGUUUAGUAAGGUCAUUGG
rnacentral:rRNA from 1 species